rnacentral:misc_RNA from 1 species
GGCGCCGGAGCGGCGCUGCGACGAAUAUCCGCACCAACUGUCCGGCGGUAUGCGCCAGCGCGUGAUGAUCGCGAUGGCGCUGAUCUGCAAGCCGAAGCUAUUGAUCGCGGACGAGCCGACCACAGCGCUCGACGUCACGGUGCAGGCCCAGAUCACCGAUCUCCUGCGCUCGCUGAGCGAGCGGACCGGGACGGCGCUCAUUUUCAUCACGCACGAUCUCGGUGUGGUCGCCGAAAUCUGCACCCGCAUGAUCACCAUGUAUGCAGGUGAAGUGGUGGAAGACGCGCCGGUCGAUGACGCGCUGAUGCGUCCGCGCC